UACGGGGGGGGUAAGCGUUGUUCGGAAUUACUGGGCGUAAAGGGCUCGUAGGCGGUUGUUUAAGUUUGGUGUGAAAUCUCCUGGCUCAACCGGGAGGGUGCGCCGAAUACUGAAUGACUAGAGUGCGGGAGAGGAAAGUGGAAUUCCUGGUGUAGCGGUGAAAUGCGUAGAUAUCAGGAGGAACACCGGUGGUGUAGACGGCUUUCUGGACCGUAACUGACGCUGAGACACGAAAGCGUGGGUAGCAAACAGG
rnacentral:rRNA from 1 species